GACGAACGCUGGCGGCGUGCCUAAUACAUGCAAGUAGAACGCUGAAGAGAGGAGCUUGCUCUUCUUGGAUGAGUUGCGAACGGGUGAGUAACGCGUAGGUAACCUGCCUUGUAGCGGGGGAUAACUAUUGGAAACGAUAGCUAAUACCGCAUAACAAUGGAUGACACAUGUCAUUUAUUUGAAAGGGGCAAUUGCUCCACUACAAGAUGGACCUGCGUUGUAUUAGCUAGUAGGUGAGGUAAUGGCUCACCUAGGCGACGAUACAUAGCCGACCUGAGAGGGUGAGCGGCCACACGGGGAAUGAGACACGGCCCAGACUCCUACGGGAGGCAGCAGUAGGGAAUCUUCGGCAAUGGGGGCAACCCUGACCGAGCAACGCCGCGUGAGUGAAGAAGGUUUUCGGAUCGUAAAGCUCUGUUGUAAGUCAAGAACGGGUGUGAGAGUGGAAAGUUCACACUGUGACGGUAGCUUACCAGAAAGGGACGGCUAACUACGUG
rnacentral:rRNA from 1 species